rnacentral:rRNA from 1 species
GAUGAACGCUGGCGGCGUGCCUAAUACAUGCAAGUCGAGCGAAUGGAUUAAGAGCUUGCUCUUAUGAAGUUAGCGGCGGACGGGUGAGUAACACGUGGGUAACCUGCCCAUAAGACUGGGAUAACUCCGGGAAACCGGGGCUAAUACCGGAUACCAUUUUGAACCGCAUGGUUCGAAAUUGAAAGGCGGCUUCGGCUGUCACUUAUGGAUGGACCCGCGUCGCAUUAGCUAGUUGGUGAGGUAACGGCUCACCAAGGCAACGAUGCGUAGCCCACCUGCGAGGGAGACCGGCCACACGUGGACUGAGACCCGGCACAGACUCCGACGGGAGGCAGCAGGAGGGAAUCUUCCGCAAUGGACGAAAGUCUGACGGAGCAACGCCGCGUGAGUGAUGAAGGCUUUCGGGUCGUAAAACUCUGUUGUUAGGGAAGAACAAGUGCUAGUUGAAUAAGCUGGCACCUUGACGGUACCUAACCAGAAAGCCACGGCUAACUACGUGCCAGCCGCCGCAGUAA